UACGGAGGGUGCAAGCGUUGUUCGGAAUCACUGGGCGUAAAGCGCGUGUAGGCGGUUGCGUAUGUCAGGUGUGAAAUCCCAUGGCUUAACCAUGGAAUUGCGCCUGAAACUGCGCGGCUAGAGUGUGGAAGAGGAAGGUGGAAGUCCUAGUGUAGAGGUGAAAUUCGUAGAUAUUAGGAGGAACACCGAUGGCGAAGGCAGCCUUCUGGUCCAUUACUGACGCUAAGACGCGAAAGCGUGGGGAGCAAACAGG
rnacentral:rRNA from 1 species